UGGGGAAUAUUGGGCAAUGGGGGAAACCCUGACCCAGCAACGCCGCGUGAAGGAUGAAGUAUUUCGGUAUGUAAACUUCGAAAGAAUAGGAAGAAUAAAUGACGGUACUAUUUAUAAGGUCCGGCUAACUACGUGCCAGCAGCCGCGGUAAUACGUAGGGACCAAGCGUUGUUCGGAUUUACUGGGCGUAAAGGGCGCGUAGGCGGCAUGACAAGUCACUUGUGAAAUCUCUGGGCUUAACCCAGAACGGCCAAGUGAUACUGUCGCGCUAGAGUGCAGAAGGGGCAAUCGGAAUUCUUGGUGUAGCGGUGAAAUGCGUAGAUAUCAAGAGGAACACCUGAGGUGAAGACGGGUUGCUGGGCUGACACUGACGCUGAGGCGCGAAAGCCAGGGGAGCAAACGGGAUUAGAUACCCAAGUAGUCCCUGAGCGGGCUGGCAAGGCGCAU
rnacentral:rRNA from 1 species